CAGUCGAGCGAACACUCUGCUUUGAUUCUUUCGGGAUGAAGAGCAUUGUGACUGAGCGGCGGACGGGUGAGUAACGCGUGGGUAACCUGCCUCAUACAGGGGGAUAACAGUUAGAAAUGGCUGCUAAUACCGCAUAAGACCACAGCACCGCAUGGUGCAGGGGUAAAAACUCCGGUGGUAUGAGAUGGACCCGCGUCUGAUUAGCUAGUUGGUGGGGUAACGGCCUACCAAGGCGACGAUCAGUAGCCGACCUGAGAGGGUGACCGGCCACAUUGGGACUGAGACACGGCCCAAACUCCUACGGGAGGCAGCAGUGGGGAAUAUUGCACAAUGGGGGAAACCCUGAUGCAGCGACGCCGCGUGAGCGAAGAAGUAUUUCGGUAUGUAAAGCUCUAUCAGCAGGGAAGAAAAUGACGGUACCUGACUAAGAAGCCCCGGCUAACUACGUGCCAGCAGCCGCGGUAAUACGUAGGGGGCAAGCGUUAUCCGGAUUUACUGGGUGUAAAGGGAGCGUAGACGGCGAGGCAAGUCUGAUGUGAAAACCCGGGGCUCAACCCCGUGACUGCAUUGGAAACUGUUUUGCUUGAGUGCCGGAGAGGUAAGCGGAAUUCCUGGUGUAGCGGUGAAAUGCGUAGAUAUUAGGAGGAACACCAGUGGCGAAGGCGGCUUACUGGACGGCAACUGACGU
rnacentral:rRNA from 1 species